rnacentral:rRNA from 1 species
AUUGAACGCUGGCGGCAGGCCUAACACAUGCAAGUCGAGCGGAUGAAGAGAGCUUGCUCUCUGAUUUAGCGGCGGACGGAUGAGUAAUGCCUAGGAAUCUGCCUGGUAGUGGGGGAUAACGUUCCGAAAGGAACGCUAAUACCGCGUACGUCCUACGGGCGAAAGCAGGGGACCUUCGGGCCUUGCGCUAUCAGAUGAGCCUAGGUCGGAUUAGCUAGUUGGUGAGGUAAUGGCUCACCAAGGCGACGAUCCGUAACUGGUCUGAGAGGAUGGUCAGUCACACUGGAACUGAGACACGGUCCAGACUCCUACGGGAGGCAGCAGUGGGGAAUAUUGGACAAUGGGCGAAAGCCUGAUCCAGCCAUGCCGCGUGUGUGAAGAAGGUCUUCGGAUUGUAAAGCACUUUAAGUUGGGAGGAAGGGCGUUUGGCUAAUAUCCAGGCGUUUUGACGUUACCAACAGAAUAAGCACCGGCUAACUUCGUGCCAGCAGCCGCAGUAAUAC